rnacentral:rRNA from 1 species
UAAAGAUUCAUCGGCUGCGGAUGGCCAUGCGGCGCAUUAGCUAGUCGGCGGGGUAACGGCCCACCGAGGCGACGAUGCGUAGGGGUUCUGAGAGGAAGGUCCCCCACACUGGUACUGAGACACGGACCAGACUCCUACGGGAGGCAGCAGUGAGGAAUAUUGGUCAAUGGCCGGGAGGCUGAACCAGCCAAGUCGCGUGAGGGAAGACGGCCCUACGGGUUGUAAACCUCUUUUGUCAGGGAGCAAGAGGCGGGUCGGGACCUGCUGUGAGAGUACCUGAAGAAAAAGCAUCGGCUAACUCCGUGCCAGCAGCCGCGGUAAUACGGAGGAUGCGAGCGUUAUCCGGAUUUAUUGGGUUUAAAGGGUGCGCAGGCGGAGGCACAAGUCAGCGGUAAAAUCGCGGGGCUCAACCCCGCUCCGCCGUUGAAACUGUGUCCCUUGAGUGCGCGAAGGGUAGGCGGAAUGCGUGGUGUAGCGGUGAAAUGCAUAGAUAUCACGCAGAACUCCGAUCGCGAAGGCAGCCUACCGGCGCGCGACUGACGCUCAUGCACGAAAGCGUGGGUAUCGAACAGGAUUAGAUACCCUGGUAGUCCACGCAGUAAACGAUGAAUGCUAUCUGUCCGGCCGGAAUGACGGCUGG